GUAGGUGGCAAGCGUUGUCCGGAAUUAUUGGGCGUAAAGCGCGCGCAGGCGGUUCUUUAAGUCUGAUGUGAAAGCCCACGGCUCAACCGUGGAGGGUCAUUGGAAACUGGAGAACUUGAGUACAGAAGAGGAAAGCGGAAUUCCACGUGUAGCGGUGAAAUGCGUAGAGAUGUGGAGGAACACCAGUGGCGAAGGCGGCUUUCUGGUCUGUAACUGACGCUGAGGCGCGAAAGCGUGGGGAGCAAACAGGGAUUAGAUACCCUGGUAUUCCACGCCGUAAACGAUGAGUGCUAAGUGUUAGGGGGGUUUCCGCCCCCUUAGUGCUGCAGCUAACGCAUUAAGCACUCCGCCUGGGGAUACGGCCGCAAGGCUG
rnacentral:rRNA from 1 species